rnacentral:lncRNA from 1 species
AAACAACUACUUGUACCACUACCUUAACGUUAAGCCACCAUUUGUGAUAUGUAUCACUUUCAUUAAUAUGUAAACCACCUAAACACAUGACGUAAUUUAUUUGUUGAAUAUAGUCUUACUCUCAGGUCAAUAUUCAACAGUAACUUUCAAAAAAUCAUGUGUACUAAAAAAAUCUCUUUUUAAUUGUAUAUAAUGUGAACAAUAGUAAUGUUGAAACCAAUUUUUCCCAUAAAUACCCAUAAUGGGUGAACUUAAAAUCAUGUAGGACAUUUUGAUGAUUUUUAGGUGCUUCAAAGUGUGUCUAAAUUCUACUAGUGUUUUCAGAAAUGAGUAUGAAGAGUGGACCAACAUAAAAUGGAAAUUUGGUGUAAAGAUCAUUGGAUGGGUCCAUCACAUAUGUGCUGACGCUUAAUAGGACACCACAUAUACUUUGAUUUUUUUAACCAGAAAACCUUGAUUUUAGUCAUCAUGAUCCUGCCAAGUGCCAAGUGAUUUCAAAUGAAAAAUGAUCUUCUCCGUAUCUUUUUUUCUAAUCCAUCAAAUUCGAAG